UACGAAGGGGGCUAGCGUUGCUCGGAAUUACUGGGCGUAAAGGGCGCGUAGGCGGCGACGACAGUCAGGCGUGAAAUUCCUGGGCUUAACCUGGGGGCUGCGCUUGAUACAUCGUUGCUUGAGGGCGGAAGAGGGUCGUGGAAUUCCCAGUGUAGAGGUGAAAUUCGUAGAUAUUGGGAAGAACACCGGUGGCGAAGGCGGCGACCUGGUCCGUUACUGACGCUGAGGCGCGACAGCGUGGGGAG
rnacentral:rRNA from 1 species